rnacentral:sRNA from 1 species
UCAGGCGUUUCGUUGCUGAAAUUGCUAUCUGGAAUGCCAUAAUGAGAAUAGGGAGAUGAGGUGGGGUAGCUAAAUUAGAGGCAGCUAAGCAGAACUUCCCUGUAAGAGUCAUUGGGACUCCUCAGAGACUCCUUCUAGUGCUGCAUGUGUUCUGUGGGAUGUAUGUCCUCAGCUCGGGAAGCAGAGCUCCGCCAGCUUCGCAAAUCCAACAUGGAGUUUGAGGAGAGGAAUGCAGCCCUGCAAAAGCACGUGGAGAGCAUGCGCACAGCAGUGGAGAAGCUGGAGGUGGAUGUGAUCCAGGAGCGGAGCCGCAACACAGUCUUACAGCAGCACCUGGAGACCCUGCGGCAGGUGCUGACCAGCAGCUUUGCCAGCAUGCCCUUGCCUGGAAGUGGAGAGACACCUACAGUGGACACCAUUGACUCAUAUAUGAACAGACUGCACAGUAUUAUUUUAGCUAAUCCCCAAGACAAUGAAAACUUCAUAGCUACAGUUCGAGAAGUUGUGAACAGACUCGAUCGUUAGGGAAUGGUCUUAGAACUCCAAGAUGUUCCAUAAGUGUUUUUACUUGUGAGGAAUGAGAAGCCAUCCAUGGAAAUUUGAACUGAGUGGGGGCAGAGAAAGAGUGCAGAUCCCUUUGCUUGUGAAAGAAUUAUCAGUGAGUGAAAGGCCGUCACCCCAGGAAGCCAAAAGAGGGAGCAGCAACAUGUAUAUGAGCUUCCUAUGGAAUUGUCCUUAUGUGAAGCUUUGAAGGUGUACAGCCACUCUCCCGGGUCUUCAGGUUCCUACCAUUUCCAUUUCUGUUAAAGUGGAUCUGCAUAUCUUCAGCUUACUAGGUGACCCUGAUGCUGACAUCUGCUGCUGCAGAAAGGAAGACUUUUCAUUGUAAUUUCGCUUAGACCCUUUUAUCAGUGGAGCUCCAGUUUUCUUACCUAGCUGUCACUUUUUUAAAUGCCUCUGGGGGUUAUUUUUGCUUUCCUU